AUUGAACGCUGGCGGCAGGCCUAACACAUGCAAGUCGAACGAGUGGCGGACGGGUGAGUAAUGUCUGGGAAACUGCCCGAUGGAGGGGGAUAACUACUGGAAACGGUAGCUAAUACCGCAUACCAUCGGAUGUGCCCAUAUGGGAUUAGCUGGUAGGUGGGGUAAUGGCUCACCUAGGCGACGAUCCCUAGCUGGUCUGAGAGGAUGAACAGCCCUAAUGGAACUGAGUAACGGUCCAGACUCCUACGGGAGGCAGCAGUGGGGAAUAUUGCACAAUGGGCGCAAGCCUGAUGCAGCCAUGCCGCGUGUAUGAAGAAGGCCUUCGGGUUGUAAAGUACUUUCAGCGAGGAGGCGUUACUCACAGAAGAAGCACCGGCUAACUCCGUGCCAGCAGCCGCGGUAAUAC
rnacentral:rRNA from 1 species